rnacentral:lncRNA from 1 species
UGUAUGUUUAUUAAGAGUGCACACUUAUUUUGCAAGCAUGAAUAUGAUGCUAGAGUAUAAGGGAGUUUCACCUAAUAGUUACAAACUUAUAUUCACAAGUAGUGGAGGUCGCUUAUAAACGAUCGCGUUAAAUAAAUUCUUGGCAGAAGUUUCAUGCUCAUCAUAGUAACGAAUGCCUCGUCAAUACUUAUAGUUUUCAUAAUGCUUAAUGAUCUUUGAUUGUAUCUUUAUUGUGCUAUUCACGAAAGGACUUUUGAAGAAUGCUUGAAUUGUUGUAUGCGUUUUCCGCUUUCCCAUCCAAUUUAAUAACUUAAGGAGAACUUGAAGGUUAAUUUAAGCGGACUUAAUUAAACUGGGGUGUUGAGUUUCAUGAUUUAUCGAAAGAACAACUAAAAAUUGGUUUAUGUGCAAGUGUGUCAUGUGUUGACAAGAACCCUCUAGCUAGCCCAUCAUCCAUAGUUUACCCAAAUUCGUCCAAAAUCUGUUUUAGUUUACAAUCUGUUUGUUUUGUUUUCAAAUUCAUCAAAAUCAAAUCCCCAUUUACUUUAAAGUGUUUUAUUAGUCAAAAUCUAUUUUGAUUUGUGUUUUUAAGUGUCUUGAGUCAAGUUAGAACCUAAUUUCUUCCAAAACCAUCCCUAGAGUUAGUUUAGAGUCUAAUUCAUUGUUUUAAGCUGUUUUGAGUCUUUUUAGUUUGUAUUGCAUCUUUUGAGUCUAGUUUGGUGUUUUAAACUUAAUUUUAUGUUUUUAAGUCAGUUUAGAGGUUAUUAGCAAGCCCUCAUAAUCCCCGGUCCAGAACGAUCCCUACUUACAUUCUUUACUACAAUUGAUACAAGAGGGUUUAAUUUGUGUGUUAAGUAAUUUUCGCAUCACGGUA